UUUAUUAAGAGUUUGAUCCUGGCUCAGGACGAACGCUGGCGGCACGCUUAACACAUGCAAGUUGAACGAGCGAAACCAGCUUGCUGGUCUAGCUAGUGGCGGACGGGUGAGUAACACGUGAGCAAUCUGCCUUUCGGAGAGGGAUACCAAUUGGAAACGAUUGUUAAUACCUCAUAACAUAACGAAGCCGCAUGACUUUGUUAUCAAAUGAAUUUCGCCGAAAGAUGAGCUCGCGUCUGAUUAGGUAGUUGGUGAGGUAAA
rnacentral:ncRNA from 1 species